rnacentral:misc_RNA from 1 species
GAUGAAGAACGUAGCGAAAUGCGAUAAGUAAUGUGAAUUGCAGAAUUCAGUGAAUCAUCGAAUCUUUGAACGCACAUUGCGCCCGUCAGUAUUCUGGCGGGCAUGCCUGUUCGAGCGUCAUUACGCCCCUCAAGUCCCCUGUGGCCUUGGUGUUGGGGAUCGGCGAGGCUGGUUUUCCAGCACAGCCGUCCCUUAAAUUAAUUGGCGGUCUCGCCGUGGCCCUCCUCUGCGCAGUAGUAAAACACUCGCAACAGGAGCCCGGCGCGGUCCACUGCCGUAAAACCCCCCAACUUUUUAUAGUUGACCUCGAAUCAGGUAGGACUACCCGCUGAACUUAAGCAUAUCAAUAAGCGGAGUA